UACGAGUGCUCCAAGCGUUAUCCGGAAUCAUUGGGCGUAAAGGGUGUGUAGGCGGUUGUGUUAGUCUUUUGUUAAAUUCUUCGGCUUAACCGGGGGCAUGCGAAAGAAACGGCACAACUAGAGGAUGCGAGAGGUAUAUGGAACUCAUGGAGUAGGGGUGAAAUCCGUUGAUAUCAUGGGGAACACCAAAAGCGAAGGCAAUAUACUGGCGCACUCCUGACGCUGAGACACGAAAGCGUAGGUAGCGAAUGGG
rnacentral:rRNA from 1 species